rnacentral:lncRNA from 1 species
AGUCACAGCUGCUGUUUCGGCGCGGGGCCGGGCCGCUGCCGCGACGUGUGGAGGCAGGAGAGCGAUGAUUGCCGCAGGAGAAGUGCGGGCGCCCUUCACCUGGGGCCCCUCCCGAACCGCCCCCGGGCCCAUGCCCCUCCAGGGCCCAGGAGCGAGCCAGCGGGAGGGCGAGGGCGAGCGCUCCUGGCGAGGACAGAUUAAGGCGAACCCCCAGUCAGCGGACAUUUGAGCGGCUCCUCGCCGCGUCUCUGCCCCCACUCCAAACCGGACUCGACGCCUGUCCCGGGCCGUGACGCACGCACCGGAGGAAAAAGUGCUUCUCGGCUCGCUCCCUCUUUGGGGAAGAGAGCUCACUCCCCAUGCGGGCGCGGGACACUCCAUCUCUGUUCCUGCCGGUCGGGUCCGCAAACACCGGGGAUCCCAGCUGCGGCGCCCAAAGGGUUAACGCAGGCGUUCGGCCAGUGCAAACCGGCCUCGCAGGAUCCGCGCUUAAAAUCCGGGUGUUUUCAUUUUGGGUUUGUUUCUUCUACUAUGCCAAGCUGGUGGCUCUCUUUUAAUUCUCUUGUAACAUCUCAACCCUGCACCCAUCUUUCCUGAGGGGAAAAGGAAACGGGAUAACUUGCGGUAUUUCGAUGCUCAAAGGUAACCGGCGGCUCUGCUCCAACCUUCAAGAGAUUUUGCAAGUUGAAAAAAAAAAAAAAACCAUCCUUCGUAACAUCUACUUAAAAAAAAAAAAGCAAGUUUUCCUUCUUGUACACGCAUAUACACAGUAAAGAUGUGUAUCUUACCUAAGAUACCGCGCUUCAUCUUCAUCUAAUCUUUAUUUGAACUCACCGUCGCCACUGGCCCAGAGACCUUGUCAGUGUUAUUUUCAGUAUCAGUUAAUCAGAACAAAAAGAUAAGUUCUGCAAUCUUCUUUCUCUUAAUUCCAGAACUGGAAAAUUAAUAUUUAUAUAGCCUCCUCAAAAGCAUACAGGCAAUAGGAAGUAUGGUAUUAUGUUCACGAUCUGAUGAUAGCAUUUGUUUUAAAAUAUUUUAAAAGAUUAGACACAAAAUGUGUAAAAGACGUUUAAAAGUGAAUAAAUAUAAAUCAAUGCUGUUG